rnacentral:rRNA from 1 species
AUUGAACGCUGGCGGCAGGCCUAACACAUGCAAGUCGAGCGAGCGGCGGACGGGUGAGGAAUGUAUGGGGACUGCCCGAUAGAGGGGGAUAACUACUGGAAACGGUGGCUAAUACCGCAUACUAUCGGAUAACCCAUAUGGGAUUAGCUAGUAGGUGGGGUAAAGGCUCACCUAGGCGACGAUCUCUCGCUGGGCUUAGAGGAUGAUCAGCCACACGUGGACUGAGACAGGGCCCAGACUCCUACGGACGCAGCAGUGGGGAAUAUCGCACGAGGGGCGCAAGCCUGAUGCAGCCAUGCCUUGUGUAUGAAGAAGGCCUUAGGGUUGUGAAGUACUUGCAGCGGGUAGGCGUUACCCGCAGAAGAAGCACCGGCUAACGCCGAGCCAGCAGCCGCGGUAAUUC